rnacentral:rRNA from 1 species
UACGUAGGUGGCAAGCGUUGUCCGGAUUUACUGGGCGUAAAGAGCGCGCAGGCGGUCGUGCAAGUCGCGUGUGAAAGCCCCCGGCUCAACUGGGGAGGGUCACGCGAUACUGCUCGACUCGAAGGCAGGAGAGGGAAGUGGAAUUCCCCGGUGUAGUGGUGAAAUGCGUAGAUAUCGGGAGGAACACCAGUGGCGAAGGCGACUUCCUGGCCUGUUCUUGACGCUGAGGCGCGAAAGCUAGGGUAGCAAACGGG